rnacentral:ncRNA from 1 species
UUUCGGGGCGGAGUGAAAGUCUCCACCGGCGGUAAAGCCCGCGCGCGCCUCUGGCGCUGAUCCGGUGAAAUUCCGGAGCCGACGGUUAUAGUCCGGAUGGAAGAAA